GUAAAAUCUUCAAGAGCAUCUUUGGUAUUAUAAAAUCCAGCCAUAGCGAAGGAAUUUGGUACAAUAAUGCAUAUUAGGGAAGUACACACAAAAGAUAUGGCACAUAUGGGAGUAAUGCCAUGUUUAGAUUCAACCUCUAAUUGGUGACUCCUAAGCACUCCCUGAGAGUCUUGGUGCAGUGAAGGCAAUAGAUCAAGUGCCCCAUCCAUGGCCAAGUCCAUAUGCGUCCAUGUAUCCCGCUGCAUGAGUAUGAACGUGAUGGUGAUCAUGGCCACCAUGACCGUGAUGGUGAUCAUGGCCAC
rnacentral:misc_RNA from 1 species